rnacentral:lncRNA from 1 species
ACUACCCAAAGAAAAGUGUGUGUUCUUAGUUUGUCCUUUGGCAAAUUCUCUUUGAUUUGAAGAGGGACCUUAAUUGGUAUCAAAUCCAUGUUUCUAGAUCAACAAUAGAUAUCUCUUGGCAAGGGACCUAUCAAUUGGUAUCAGAGCAUGUUUUGUUUUUGAUCCGGACCACUUUGUGGUAUCAAAAACUUUAUAUUUGAAAUCUUCCUUGUUAUCGGUAUUCUUCAUGAAUCAAGGGUUUCAAGAAUCCUCGACGAACGGCCAUUCUUCAGAAUCAACGAUCAUCGAGAUAUAUCCAGCUAUUUUUUCUUUUCACCGUUUUCUUCUUUUCGGGUUUGUUGAUCAAGUUCAACAUCCUUUCUUUUAUAUGGAUUAAAAUCUGUAAUUCUUCCACUGUUUUUCAGUUUUCAAAAAAAAAAAAAGAUUUCACAUUUCUUUGUCAUUUAAAAAAAAAGAAGAAGUUUAUUUCCAAUAAUGAACCGUGGAAACAAUUUGGCAUUGGUCUUGGUGGAUGGCUCGUUGAAAAACAUCUAUGACUCGAGGAAACCACAUGAAAGGACGAGAAGCAAUUCAAGUCAAGAUUUCCCUAUUCAACACGAACCUUGAGGACAAGGUUCUUUCCGACAGGCUGGAGUAGGGUUUCAAGAAUCCUCGACGAACGGCCAUUCUUCAGAAUCAACGAUCAUCGAGAUCUAUCCAGCUAUUUUUUCUUUUCACCGUUUUCUUCUUUUCGGGUUUGUUGAUCAAGUUCAACAUCCUUUCUUUUAUAUGGAUUAAAAUCUGUAAUUCUUCCACUGUUUUUCAGUUUUCAAAAAAAAAAAAAGAUUUCACAUUUCUUUGUCAUUUAAAAAAAAAGAAGAAGUUUAUUUCCAAUAAUGAACCGUGGAAACAAUUUGGCAUUGGUCUUGGUGGAUGGCUCGUUGAAAAACAUCUAUGACUCGAGGAAACCACAUGAAAGGACGAGAAGCAAUUCAAGUCAAGAUUUCCCUAUUCAACACGAACCUUGAGGACAAGGUUCUUUCCGACAGGCUGGAGUAUUGAUGAGACUACACUCAACCAUAGUUCAAUAUGACUUAGUCUUCAAGUUGUUUCCUAUGUUUAUGCAAAUAAAAAGAUCACUGCUACAUUUCCUGUUAUGUA